rnacentral:rRNA from 1 species
UACGUAGGGCGCGAGCGUUGUCCGGAAUUAUUGGGCGUAAAGAGCUCGUAGGCGGCCUGUUGCGUCCGCUGUGAAAUCCCAGGGCUCAACCCUGGGCGUGCAGUGGAUACGGGCAGGCUGGAGGCAGGCAGGGGAGAACGGAAUUCCCGGUGUAGCAGUGAAAUGCGUAGAGAUCGGGAGGAACACCAGUGGCGAAGGCGGCCUCUGGACCAAUACUGACGCUCAUGCACGAAAGCGUGGGGAGCAAACAGG